rnacentral:tRNA from 1 species
UCCGUUAUGGUGUAGUGGCUAGCAUCGGCCGCUCUCAAGCAGAGUAUAAUCCGGCCAGACCGGGGGGUUCAAUUCCCCGUAACGGAAUAUCCGGCCCAGACCGGGGUUCAAUUCCCCGUAACGGAA